rnacentral:misc_RNA from 1 species
GAUGAAGAACGUAGCGAAAUGCGAUAAGUAAUGUGAAUUGCAGAAUUCAGUGAAUCAUCGAAUCUUUGAACGCACAUUGCGCCCGGCAGUACUCUGCCGGGCAUGCCUGUUCGAGCGUCAUUUCAACCCUCAAGCCCUGCUUGGUGUUGGGGCCCCACGGCUGCCGUGGGCCCUGAAAGGAAGUGGCGGGCUCGCUACAACUCCGAGCGUAGUAAUUCAUUAUCUCGCUUAGGGCGUUGGGCAGCGCUCCAGCCGUUAAAGAACCAUCUUUAACUCAAGGUUGACCUCGGAUCAGGUAGGAAUACCCGCUGAACUUAAGCAUAUCAAUAAGCGGAGGA